rnacentral:rRNA from 1 species
UGAGGAAUAUUGGGCAAUGCCCGCAAGGGUGACCCAGCAACGCCGCGUGGAGGAUGAAUGUCGUAAGAUUGUAAACUCCUGUUAGAGGGGAAGAAUAGUACCGGUUGGACCGGUAUAUGACUGUACCCUCAGAGAAAGCCCCGGCUAACUACGUGCCAGCAGCCGCGGUAAUACGUAGGGGGCAAGCGUUGUCCGGAUUUACUGGGUGUAAAGGGCGCGCAGGCGGGAUAAAAAGUCAGUGGUGAAAUCUCCGAGCUUAACUUGGAAACUGCCGUUGAUACUAUAGGUCUUGAAUUAUCUGGAGGUAAGCGGAAUAUGUCAUGUAGCGGUGAAAUGCUUAGAUAUGACAUAGAACACCAAUUGCGAAGGCAGCUUACUACAUAUAAAUUGACGCUGAGGCACGAAAGCGUGGGGAUCAAACA